UAACUUGGUUAACCUAUAAUACCCAAU
rnacentral:piRNA from 1 species